rnacentral:rRNA from 1 species
UUGACCUCGGAUUCAGGUAGGGAUACCCGCUGAACUUAA